ACCAGACUCCUACGGGAGGCAGCAGUGGGGAAUAUUGCACAAUGGGGGAAACCCUGAUGCAGCGACGCCGCGUGAGUGAAGAAGUAUUUCGGUAUGUAAAGCUCUAUCAGCAGGAACGAGACAAGACGGUACCUGACUAAGAAGCCCCGGCUAACUACGUGCCAGCAGCCGCGGUAAUACGUAGGGGGCAAGCGUUAUCCGGAAUCACUGGGUGUAAAGGGAGCGUAGACGGCUGUGCAAGCCUGAAGUGAAAGGCGGGGGCCCAACCCCCGGACUGCUUUGGGAACUGUACGGCUGGAGUGCAGGAGAGGUAAGUGGAAUUCCUAGUGUAGCGGUGAAAUGCGUAGAUAUUAGGAGAAACACCAGUGGCGAAGGCGGCUUACUGGACUGUAACUGACGUUGAGGCUCGAAAGCGUAGGGAGCAAACAGGAUUAGAUACCCCUGUACU
rnacentral:rRNA from 1 species